GUACACGCUGUGACUAGCAUAUCAAUAAGCGGAGGAAAAGAGGGCUAUUACCUACGCUUAGGAUGUUGACGAGACUGUCGAUCUCAUCUAUACAUGACUCUGUGCAUAUCAAUAAGCGGAGGAAAAGAAACUAACAAGGAUUCCCCUAGUAACGGCGAGUGAAGCGGGAAGAGCUCAAAUUUGAAAUCUUAAAGGGUUUCCCUUUACGAAUUGUAGUUUAAAGAAGUGUUUUCUGUUGAGGUUUUGGUAAAAGUUCUUUGGAAUAGGACAUCAUAGAGGGUGAGAAUCCCGUAUUUGACCUUUACUUUCAACUUUGUGAUACACUUUCAAAGAGUCGGAUUGUUUGGGAAUGCAGUCCAAAAUGGGUGGUAAAUUUCAUCUAAAGCUAAAUAUUGGCGAGAGACCGAUAGCGAACAAGUACCGUGAGGGAAAGAUGAAAAGAACUUUGAAAAGAGAGUUAAACAGUACGUGAAAUUGUCAAAAGGGAAGCGUUUGACACCAGUGUUGUUUUUCUGAAAAUCAAUUAAAGAACUGUUUAUGCUAAGCUGUUUAGACUUUAUCAGCUAUCUGUUUAGUUUUGAGCUUUUCUUUAAUGCACUUUUCAGUUAACAAGUCAACAUCAAUUUCUUUUGCUGUAAAAAAGCUUGAGGAAGGUGGCUUGAGAUUCGUCUUAAGUGUUUAUAGCCUCUUGCCUAUGCAGUCGGAGAGAUUGAGGUCUGCAGCGUAGAUCCUUCGGGGCUAAAUGCAUUUGUGCUAAGUUAUAGCAUUUCAUAGACAACUUGUUGACUAUGAUUUGUCUUGUAGCUUACUCGCUUAUGUUAUUUUACCUACGCUUAGGAUGUUGACGAGACUGUCGAUCUC
rnacentral:rRNA from 1 species